rnacentral:tRNA from 1 species
GGGGAUAUAGCUCAGUGGUACAGCAUUCGACUGCAGAUUGAGAGGUCCCGGUUCAAACCCGGGUGCCCCCU